GGGGAAAGCCAGAACAUUCCAGCCAUGUAUGUUUACAAGCUCAUCAGUAUUGUUGCUGUAUCGGGCUCUGUGUGUGGGCAAGCGGAGGUGAGGAUCCAAACGCAGGAGUCGUGAAGCCAAAUUUCAACAGAAAACCACAGUUUUACUGCUGGCAAUGAACAAACAUGAGCAGAACAAUGAAAUGUGAGAACUGGCAACACGCAGGCAGAAUCUGAGGGAGAAAAGCACAAAAGCACCCUCCAUGCUACAGCCCAUGAAGCAGUCCAUUGGCCAUACAGGAUCCAGCAGUGAGGCCUUCAGCUGUGGCAGCAGAGCAAAACUGUCCAUCCUUUCCCCGGCAGCGCUCCGUCGCUGAUGAAUCUCUCCUUCGAAAUCCACUCUUUUAGUUUAGCAGUCCUUUAGAUCUGCUACAAGCUUUAACAUGAACAAA